UCUCUUCUCUUCCCUUCAGUUUUUCAUUUCUUCUUCUAUUUUGACCUAACGGCUGUGCCUGUGCUGUGGCUGCUCAAAUCUUCAAUCCAGAGCUGCACCUCUGCUGCGGCUGUGCCUGUGCCGCUUCCUCAUCGAUUUCACGAUCUCCCGCCCAGGCCUAGGUAUCAUCCCUUCUCUCUCUCUCUCUCUCUCUCUCUCUCUCUCUCUCUCUCAAGUCGACCUCAGCCUAACCCACAUCACCCCUCUCUGUUUCAGGCACACACAACACAAACCCGAUCAAGAGCCGCCACAACCACCUCCAUUGCCGAAGGUAAAUUCUCUCGUCUGUGCAUUGUAGGGUUUUUAUUUUUAUUUUUUUUUUGCUUUGAAAUUUAUACCUAUAUCAGAAUGAUAUAUGCUAUGGGAGCUAUGGGAAGUGUUUUCUGUUAAAUCAGAAGUGUGCGGUGAUGAGGCUAUUUGUGGACUAGAGUUUAUGAUCUGGGUUCUUCUCCCAAAAGUUUGAUUACAAACCCUUGGCUGUCUGAGCACUCUUAAUCUGUUUUCUCUUAUCUUCCAAUCUGUAGUUUUGAAAAGUGCUUUGUUCCAAAGUCACCCGUAUAAUCUUUUUGACUUUCUGGCAAAACCCAUAAAAAUUUUCUCAAAUUUAUUGGCUUUUUUUUUUUUGCUGUAAAAUUGUUCUUGUUUGGUAGGGUUUAUAUGGCAGUAUGGAGCUUAUGAUGAUAAUUUUUAAAUAUCUUAGCGGAUUUCAGUGAGACCUUAGGGUGAAUGAUCUGAUUGUUACACACACUGAGGCUCAAAUUUUAAUUAUUUUUCCUUCAAAUUUUCACAGUAGUUUUGGUUUGGUUUAAAGCGUGCAAAUCUUGAUUUGUUGGGUUGUGGUUUGCGAUGAUGAGAUGAAACACUGGACGUGUUUUGGGCAGUGGACAAGCUCAUUCUUACAAAACGACUUCUCCUUCCACUGAGCUCCAUUCCCACAUAAUCAAGUUUUAAAUUUAAUCUAGUAAAAUUGAAAACCAAAUUGUAUAUAUCAAAAUGAUAUAUACCUAUAACAGAUUUGUGGCACACACUUCCCAAAAACUGCCCAUCUAAACCAUUCUUAGAUUCUGGAAGUUGGCCUGCUUUCCCUUUGGCAAAUUCCAGUAAAUUUGAGAGAUUAUUUUGGGAGCUCUCAUUUAGGAUCGAUAGCCCUUGAUUUUGCAAGCAGCAGAUCUGUGUCCACAUCUCCUUAUCUAGCUUAAGGGUCAAAGCACCAUGUGUAUAUUCUCAUGCCUAAGAGAAUCAACUUCAAGCUUUGUAUUAAUUUUUUUUUUUUUGAAUGAUUUAUGGUUACAUAAGUUUUAAAUUGUGUGGCUUUUGAGACUGUUUUGAUUUGAGCAUGAAAGAAAUUUGGUUUGAAUUUUAGGGUUUUUGUAGAGCAGUGGGUAUUUUAGGGUAUUUGGUUUGAAAUUGGUUUGAAUUUAUGAAAGGAAUGAAGCUUGUUUGUAACCUAACCCUAGUUUUGUUUUGAUUCACAGUUGUUUUGCAUUUCUGCUGCUGUGAGCUUUGAAAGUAUCGGAAAUUUUGCUUAAAUGGAGGUAAAUUGCUUCUAACCCUAUUUUUGUUUUGUUUUGAGUUAAUAUGUAAUCUGUAAUCUGCAAUCUGUUUUGUUUUAAUAUGUAAUCUGUAAUCUGUAAUCUGUUUAGUUUUAAUAUGUAAUAUGUAAUCUGCUGCUAUAAUCUAUAAUCUGUUUUAUUGAUUCUGUGUGUGUUUUAAAUCCGUUUUGACUUUUUUUAAAUAUGUUUUUUUGGAUAAUAUACAUGUUGUCAUCUGUUUAUGGAUAUGAAAGUCUGUUUUCACAGUUUAAAUCUGUUUGUUUGGAUAAUAUAUAUGUUUUAAUCCAUUUAUGGAUAGGAAAGUAAUAUUUAGGAGUGAUUAAAUCUGGUAAUUGGAUUGUAUCUGUUUUAGUCUAUUUAUGGAUAGGAAUACUUUGUUUUGACUCUGUUGAAAUCUGGUUUUUGGAUAGAAUAUAUGUUGAAAUCUGGUUUUUGGAUAGAAAAUUCUGUUUUGACUCUGUUUAAAUUUGGUUCUUGGAUAGGAUAUAUGUUUAGAGAGUUGUAUGGAUAGGAAAAUCUGUUUUGACAGUUUACAUGUGUUUUAUAUAUUAUAGGAUAUAUGUUUUAAUCUGUUUAUGGAUAGGAAAACUUUGUUUGACUGUGUUUAAAUAUAUUUUUAAUUUGUUUAUGGAUAGGAACCAGCUUCUAUUGAGGCUCAUUUGCCUGGGAAUGAUGAUUCUAUACCAUGUAGUGAUGCUGUUGUACCUCCAACAGCGUCACAAAAUCCAACACCAUCACCAUUAGAACCUAGUACCGGGAAAAGGAAACCUUGUAAGAAGGAGAGUGAUGUGUGGGAACACUUUGAAAAGUAUGAUUUGGUAUCGGAGUUGAAAGGGGUAGAUGGGAGUAAAAGAAAAGAAGUUGAAAAAAGGGCUAAGUGCAAGUAUUGUAGUGCUACUUAUGCUAGUGAUACCAAGAAAAAUGGGACUAGCAACAUGUGGAAGCAUCUAAACAAACAAUGCUUGCAUUAUCCUUAUAGGCACAAGGAUAAGAACACACGGACGCUCGCAUUUGAUGCUUCCAAGGGUAAUGCUCUUGUUUCUAGGAAUUUUAACAAAGAUGAUUGUUUGGAUGCUUGUAUUAGGAUGGUGGUUCGAGAUGAGCUACCUUUUAGCUUUGUGGAGGGUGAAGGGUUUAGGGAAUUUUGUAGUGUUGCAUGCCCACAAUUUAAUCCACCCUCUCGUAGAACUCUUGGAAGAAGAUUUCUAGAAAUGUACACAAAAAUGAAGGAGAAGUUGAAAGUUGACAUUCGUUCACAUAGAAUAUGCCUUACAACCGAUACUUGGACAUCGGUUCAAAAUGUGAAUUACAUGGUGUUGACUGCCCACUUUGUGGAUUCCGACUAUAAAAUGCACAAAAGGAUCCUAAAUUUUUGUGUAAUUGAUAGUCAUAAGUGGGAGAGCAUUGGGAAAUUGCUUGAAAAUUGUUUGAUUGAUUGGGGACAUGAGAAGAUACUUACAAUUACAGAUAAUGCAGCUGCCAAUACUAAGGCAAUUGAAUAUGUGAGGAAGAAAAUAAAUGGGUGGAAAGAUUCGAAUAGUGUGUUAGGAGGAGUUCACAUGCAUAUGAGGUGUAGUGCUCAUAUAAUCAACUUGAUAGUUAAGGAGGGUUUGAAGAGAUUAGAAAGCUCAAUUGUGGCAAUCCGUAAUGCGGUCAAGUUUGUGAGGUCCUCACCUUCUCGGUUGAGUUACUUCAAAAUGUGUGUUGAGACGGAAAAAAUAGAGUGCAAGGGGUUGGUGGUGAUGGAUGUGCCCACUAGGUGGAACUCCACUUAUUUGAUGCUUGAUGCGGCAUUGAAAUUUCGAAAAGCUUUUGAUAGAAUGGGGGAUGAUCCCGAUUCUUCCUACUUAAUGUACUUCAAGGAAGAGGAAGGAGAUGACGAGAGAUUUGAAGACAUUGAAGGAAGUGGGAAAGGGAAGGGAAAGUCUAAGACUAAUAAGAGGGUGGGUCCACCUAGUGAUGAAGAUUGGGAAAAAGCCGUGACAUUUGUGAUGUUUUUGAAGACCUAUGAUGUUACUUUGAAAAUUUCAGCUUCUUUGCAUCCAACAUCACACUCAACCUUCCAUGACUUGCUUGCCAUAGAUGGGGAGAUUCGGGAGUUGUAUAGAUAUGAUGUUACAAUUCCUAUUGAAGAAUGGACAACCAUGGAUACUCUUUUAAAUGAUAUGGCGGCUUCAAUGAAGAAGAAAUAUGAUAAAUAUUGGGGUGAACUUCAUAAAGUGAACCCAUUCUUGAUGAUAGGAGUUGUGAUUGACCCCCGAUUCAAGCUUCACAAUUUGAAGCACAUCUUUGAAGAAAUAUUUGAAAAUGAUCCUACUUGUGAUAGAUUGGUGGCUCAAAAGACAAAUGAGGUGAAACAACUUCUUAUGAAUAUGUAUGAAGUGUAUAAGCCUAGUAGUAACAAUAUGGGUGCUACUAGUACUACCAAUGAGAGUGGUGGUAGUACUAACAAUGAAAGCGACUCUUCUUUGGUUUUUGGAGGUCGUAAACGAAAAACCAUGAUGGAAAAGUGGAAAAAAAUUCAACAAGAGAGUGAGAAUGUGGUUAUAACACAUGAAGUGGAUAGGUACUUGUUGGAUCCACUUGAAUCCAUUGAUGAGGAGUUUGAUAUACUAGGGUGGUGGAGAAUAAAUGGGCUCAAGUAUCCUACUUUGGCAUCAAUUGCAAAGGAUGUGCUUGCAAUCCCUACUUCCACAAUAGCUUCGGAGUCUUGUUUUAGCACAAGUGGGAGAGUGAUUGACUCGUUUCGAAGCUCAUUGUCUCCUAGGAUGGUUGAGGCUUUGAUUUGCUCUCAAAAUUAGAUAAGGUCCGAAGAUAUAUCUUCAUUGCAAUAUGUGCCAAGCAUUGAGGAGAUGGAGUUCUAUGAAUCAAUUGAAAUGGGUAAUAUUUUCAUUUCUAUAAGUAUAUUUGAAUCCGAUUAUUUUCUUAUUUUUAUGUGUUCUAACUCAAAUUGGUUUGAUUUAUUUUAUUAUAUUUUGUAGAAAUGGGGAGUAAAACAUCCAUGACAAAUUUGAAUAAGACUCUCCCUUCUUAGUGUGAUUAAGAUAUGUUGGAAGGUAUUUUUAUUGCAUCUUAUUUUAAUUAUGAUUUGUUGAUGGUGAAACAUUGUGUUAAUUCUUUUAAGUGUUGUGUAGGUUGCUUUGUGAAGGCUUUUGGAAGAAUGGAUGCAGCAUAUUUUUUGCAAGGAUAUUAUUCUAUGUGUAUUUUUGUGAUGGGUUGUAAUCUUUAAUGUCAUAAGUUUAAUUUGGUUUGUGUAUUAUUUUUUGUAAUGGUUUGUAAGAGAUUAUAUUUCCUUUCCUUGGUUGGUUGGUUGAAUGUGUGUAUGUGAGAUUUAUUUAGUUUAGAAACUUAGAUUGGAAUGAUGGAUUUUUAUAGCUUGAAUG
rnacentral:lncRNA from 1 species